CAGUGCACGCCACUCAUAAGACUCGCUGAUAUAAGGUCCAGUCGCCCAGCACGUAUCGGAAUCCGUUUAAAAAAAAGUCCGUUAUAAUGAUCACCACGUCAGUUACAAGAGUCAAAUUUUUCUCAACGAAUUUCCGAUUUCGCAAAAUUAUAAAUAAUAUCAAACCAAACCCAACGUGGAUAAAGAAACGCGCGUAGCGGUUACCACGCAUUACUUUC